rnacentral:rRNA from 1 species
CCUACGGGAGGCAACAGUGGGAAUAUUGGGCAAUGGGCGCAAGCCUGACCCAGCAACGCCGCGGGAAGGAAGAAGGCUUUCGGGUUGUAAACUUCUUUUAUGAGUGGAGAUCAGAAGACGGUACCUCUUGAAUAAGCCACUGCUAACUACGUGCCAGCAGCCGCGGUAAUACGUAGGUGGCAAGCGUUGUCCGGAUUUACGGGGUGUAAAGGGCGUGCAGCCGGGAAGACAAGUCAGAUGUGAAAUCCCGGGGCUCAACCGCGGAACUGCCUUUGAAACUGUUGUUCUUGAGUACCGGAGAGGUCAGCGGAAUUCCUUGUGUAGCGGUGAAAUGCGUAGAUAUCAGGCAGAACACCAGUGGCGAAGGCAGAUGACCGGACGGCAACUGACGGUGAGGCGCGAAAGCGUGGGGAGCAAACAGGAUUAGAUACCCCAGUAGUC